GCAGUGUGUGUUGUGUUUCCUUUAGGACCCGUACAGCAUGCUGAAGCCCAAAGAGUACGCCGGCUCCAAGGCCGACCCUCACAUCGUGCCCUCCAUCACCAGCCAGAGGAUCGUGGGAUGCGUCUGUGAGGAGGACAACACGGCGGUGGUGUGGUUCUGGCUCCAUGAAGGAGAGGCUCAGCGCUGCCCCUCCUGCGGCUCUCACUACCAGCUGGUGGCCCACGAGCUGCCUCACUAACUACCAUCAUCAUUGUUAUUACACACACACACACUCACACACUCUUCUACCUGUUGUUGUUGUUAUCGGCGUGUUACUCAGUGACCUCACUAAACUCCAUGUUACACAGGGAUCAAUAUGCUAAACAUUUCCAUUCAGCAGUUUACACCCAACAUGUACUGUACCUUUUAAAGAACCAAUAAAAUCCUCACUCUUACA